AGCGAACGCUGGCGGCAGGCCUAACACAUGCAAGUCGAACGAAGUCUUCGGACUUAGUGGCGGACGGGUGAGUAACACGUGGGAACGUACCUUUUGGUUCGGAACAACUCAGGGAAACUUGAGCUAAUACCGGAUGAGCCCUUAGGGGGAAAGAUUUAUCGCCGAAAGAGCGGCCCGCGUUAGAUUAGCUAGUUGGUGAGGUAAAGGCUCACCAAGGCUACGAUCUAUAGCUGGUCUGAGAGGAUGAUCAGCCACACUGGGACUGAGACACGGCCCAGACUCCUACGGGAGGCAGCAGUGGGGAAUCUUGCGCAAUGGGCGAAAGCCUGACGCAGCCAUGCCGCGUGAAUGAUGAAGGUCUUAGGAUUGUAAAAUUCUUUUACCAGGGACGAUAAUGACGGUACCUGCAGAAAAAGCACCGGCUAACUACGUGCCAGCCGCCGCCGUAAGAC
rnacentral:rRNA from 1 species